UACGGAGGAUGCAAGCGUUGUCCGGAAUGAUUGGGCGUAAAGGGCGCGUAGGCGGCUUGAUAAGUCUGGAGUGAAAGUCCUGUUUUCAAGAUGGGAAUUGCUUUGGAUACUGUUGAGCUUGAGUGCGGGAGAGGUUAUCGGAAUUCCCGGUGUAGCGGUGAAAUGCGUAGAGAUCGGGAGGAACACCAGUGGCGAAGGCGGGUAACUGGACCGCAACUGACGCUGAGGCGCGAAAGUGUGGGGAGCAAAC
rnacentral:rRNA from 1 species